rnacentral:rRNA from 1 species
UUCAGAGGUCUCAAGCGUUGUUCGGAAUUACUGGGCGUAAAGGGUGCGCAGGCCGCACGGGCAGUCAAAUGUGUAAUUCAGGGGCUCAACCCCUGCACUGCGCUUGAUACUUCCGUGCUCGAACCUUGGAGAGGAGUCUGGAAUUCUCGGUGUAGCAGUGAAAUGCGUGGAUAUCGAGAAGAACACUUAGGGCGAAAGCAAGACUCUGGACAAGUGUUGACGCUCAUGCACGAAGGCUAGGGUAGCGAACGGG